rnacentral:rRNA from 1 species
UGGGGAAUAUUGCANAAUGGGGGGAACCCUGAUGCAGCCAUGCCGCGUGAAUGAAGAAGGCCUUCGGGUUGUAAAGUUCUUUCGGUGACGAGGAAGGUUGAUAGGUUAAUAGCCUAUCAAAUUGACGUUAAUCACAGAAGAAGCACCGGCUAACUCCGUGCCAGCAGCCGCGGUAAUACGGGGGGUGCGAGCGUUAAUCGGAAUAACUGGGCGUAAAGGGCACGCAGGCGGUGACUUAAGUGAGAUGUGAAAGCCCCGAGCUUAACUUGGGAAUUGCAUUUCAUACUGGGUCGCUAGAGUACUUUAGGGAGGGGUAGAAUUCCACGUGUAGCGGUGAAAUGCGUAGAGAUGUGGAGGAAUACCGAAGGCGAAGGCAGCCCCUUGGGAAUGUACUGACGCUCAUGUGCGAAAGCGUGGGGAGCAAACAGGAUUAGAUACCCUGGUAGUCCACGCUGUAAACGAUGUCGAUUUGGGGAUUGGGCUUUGAGCUUGGUGCCCGUAGCUAACGUGAUAAAUCGACCGCCUGGGGAGUACGGCCGCAAGGUUAA